AGAUGUUUUUCAAUGCAAAUGGGAUCAACUGCAGACCCUAAGAUAACCACUCCCCUACAUCUGCAGCCUGCCCUGCAUAUCCCGGGCCUGCCAGCCUCCACAACCGAGGCAGCCAGUUCCUUAAAAGAAUUAUUUUCUGAUGAUACAUAGAUGGAAGAUUGAUAGAUAUGUAGACAGAUAGAUACACAGAGACAUAGUCAUAGAGCAAGUUGGACAUAUUGAUAUGAAUAUAUCGCCUAUUGUCUCCUUGGAGAGCCCUAAUAUAGGAUCUCAGAUUUACCAUCCUCCAAGCAGUGAAAAGUUCAUCUGCUGAAGCUCAGUGGAACAGGAGGUGAACUUCGUGGACGCUGAACUCAGGGCUGACAUUAGCCCCAGUCCUGCUAUUGGCUAUGUGAACAAGAAGUCUCUUCCCCUCCAUCUGCCUCUGCGUCCUCACCUUGGAAUGGAAGCUAACAGCAGUACUCACCCCAAAGGUCUGUGGUGAGGAUCAUUUGAGAGAAUGUGUACAAAAUGCCCCGAAUAAUCCCUGGGUCAACAGCAGUCUCAGGAUGGAUCAGCUUGCUAAGGCUGUUGUAACAAGGUACGGCCAACUGGGAGACUUCAGCAGCUACUCUAGCUCCACCAAUUGGAGGCCUGAAACCAUUUAUUUGCUCACAGCUCUGGGGCUGGAAGUCUGAAGUCAAGGGCUCUGCAGGACUGGAUCCUUAAGAAGCUGACAGGGAGGAUCCGUCUGGGUCCCCCGGGUCUGUCUUGCUUUCGUCUCUUCCUGGGGUCCUCCUGCGUGCUGUCUCUCUGUCCAAAUGUCCCCUUUCAUCCAAGGACACCAGUCGUGCUUGCCUAGGGCCAACCCCAGUGACCUUAUUUUGAAUUUAUUUUCCCUGCAACGAUGCUAUCUCUAAAUAAAGUUCCCGGGAGUUAGGACUUCAGCGAAUGAAUUCUGGAAGGCUCACGGUUCCACCCUGACACCGGAAGUGAUAGUCCGGAGCGGCCUGGACGUCCAGCUCCUUGCGACUUGGGUAAGCUGGGCUUCCUCAGAAUCAGAGCCUGAGACAAGGGCCCGAGAGGCCGUGGUCUCCUUGAGCGGUGACCGUAGGGCCGAGGGGGAGUGAGGUAGGGAAGGGAAGGAGGCAGAGCCAGAGCCGGCGUGUUCGUGUUCGGGAGUGGCUUCCGGUGUGGCUGAUGGAAGCCGGGAGCCAGAGGCACCUGGCGUGCCUGGAGCGCUUCACAGUCAGCUCAUCUCGCCGCUUAGCGAGCGCUGCUCUGACAGCCUGAACCUGCGUCCCGCCUUGCCAGACGGAGCCGAGAAUGCUUGGAGAAGGAGAGGCUGGUGUUCGCCAGAGAAACCCCCGGCGGUGCGGGCUGGGGCCCUGAGGCUCUCUGCCACCCUGCCGGACACAGCUGUGGGUCAUACCGAGGGAAGUCAGGACUUCGAUCCACAGGGACACCGCAGGGUCCGGCUUCACUGCAAAGACUCCUCCUCAAUGUUCUCCAGAAAGGGCGGCCCAGAGCGCCAGCCAUCCCCAGUAAUGAUCAUAAAGGUGCACAGAACUGAAAGGUUGAGAAGUGACAGCGGUUCCCAUCCCUUCCCAGGGCUCAGCCUCACCACAGGAACAAAGCCUACACUGCGUGGAUUUUCACUGCUGAGCCAAGGCACUCCACUUUAUUAGUGAAUUAUGCAGGCUGCAGAAGACUGCCUCCAGCCCACUCACUGGGCCCAGAGUAUCUCCCCAUCCUGCUCGCUGCUUCUAUGGGCCAGCCUUAGAGUCCACAUCCCUUGAGCAGAGACCUGAAUGAUGAGGACCAGGCCCCGAAAGGUUUGGAAGAAGAGUUUGCCGCGCAGAGGGAACAUCAAGCGCCUGGCCAUGAUGAGCCUCAUAGUCAAGGGCAGUUGGACAACAGAGCUGGUGCCCAGGAAUGAACAGGAGGUUUUCACAAGACUGUCCUCAUUGAAGAUGGAUGUCUCUUCAGACACCCUCAGCCCUGCUGGGAGGAAGCUGCAAGAUCUUUCUACACACGCAUCUGGUGAUGUCACUUCCCAACUCUCCUCUCCUCAUCACUUCCCUCCCGGCUGUGAAACUGAACGCAAAACUCAGAGCUUCAGGUGGAGCUCUCAAGAUCUGACUGCAGCCUCUCUCCGCAGGAUUAAAGGACGAAUGGUAUCAUGGCCACGAAGCAUCUUGGUGUACAUCACAGCCUCCCACACCCUCGGCGGGGAGGCCGGCUGCCUACUCCCUUUCAGCUUCUGUGCACUAUCCCCAACCUCCCGGAGCUUCAGCCUACUGAACACGCUGUGUCUAAGCAGGAUUCGGGAGAACAGAUUGUUUGAGGUUUGGAUUCAGCAUCAGACAAAAUGAGAUUUGGAACCUCGUGCUGCUGCUGCCUUACCUUCUUUCAACUCCAUCACCAGUAAAAAUAUUCUAAUCAAAAUGUUUCACUUCCUUUCUGCCCGCUACCCUCCUUGCUGCCAAAAACUUUG
ensembl:lncRNA